AUUGAAUAUAGUUCCCUGUGCUAUAUGGUACUGAAGACAUGACAGUAGCUGAAGAAGCAUAGAUGUGCCACCUGCUAUCACAGGGAUUCUGAUGUCUCUGAUGUGUCAGACCAAAAGUCAAUGUUUGUGCAUGGAAUUUGAAUGAAGGUAGCUCUGUGGAGCCAAGUUGUUCCUGCUCUUCGGAUGGGAUUUCACGGUCUAUCUGCCAACUUCUUAAGAGCACCCACUCCUUCCAGUUUUCCGGAUUUAUUCUGAUUACAAUUGCUCUUAGUCAUCUUAAUCUUGAAAUAAAGAGCUUUUGGGCCCAGCAGUG